UUUAUAUAUACAUAUAUUUAUGUUCUUAUAUAAUUAUAUUUAUUUAACUAUGAUUAUACACACACACACAAUGUACUGAAGAUUAAACUUGGGACCUCAGGCAAGGUGCAGAGAUAAGCCUUCUACCUCAGAGCCAUUCGUGAAGGUCACUUUCCCUUUGAAGCAAGGCCACCCAGUGUUGCUUGGGUUGCCUAGGAAUUUAGUAUGUUGACCAGGCUGCUCUGAAUUUUAAGAUCAGUAGCCUCAGGAAUAGGUGGAAUUACAAAUCUUUCCCUCCUUGGAUACCCUACCUUUUUCUUUCCCUCAGGCAAGGAUUUACUUUGUGGCACAGGCUAAUCUCAGACUCCCAAGUCUCAGGUUCCUGGCCUAUCUAAUCUUUAUCUGAGAUUAGAAGACUGUUCUCUCCUGCCUGCCGAAAUAGUUAGUAGCCUGGCUACUCUCCAAGGCAGGAGGAAGUGAAUUGUGGCUUUGUAUUGGCCUGAGACAUAAAAGAAGGGUGGCAGCCAUCAUUGCCACAUGUCAGUCACAUUACAUAGUGCUUUGCUGAGUACUCAACAGCGUCUAUGAGACAUCACUCCGAGUGCUGCCAUCUUCUCUCGUGAGAAUUCAGUGUGUUCCAAUGUCAUGAGUUAUGUUCCACCACUUACUGUGAUUUACACUGGGGCGAUGGUGCAUAUGAAGAAUUGUUAAGUAAAUCUUUGGUAGAGAACCUUGUAGGAUCGCUCAUUGGUAACUUUCAGAAUGAUGCUUUCACAGCACUCCAAAAGAGGACAUGCUGGGUAUAAAGCAGUGCCAAAACUUGUUUCAAAGCACGGAUAACCUUUUUAAGUAUCUAUGCACACAUCAUUUUGUAUAUACAUGUCUUGAUUUUAUUUCACACAAUCUCUAAAUCUAUAUAAAAAUUGGAUAGGAUAGUACAUUAUACAUUGAAUUAGACCAGUUUAUAGUUAAGAAAGACUUGAGGAAAAUGAGAACUCAGGAAUGGUGUCAUUCUUACUUAUAAACAUUAUGUUAUAAAAGCAAUGUAGAAAAGAAGCUCUAAAAAUCACUUGAGAAAUACAGAUUAAGUGAGGUGCUCUUGUUUUGAGUUAGGGUCUCUACUUCUGCCUGGCCUGGAAAUUUGCAAUGAUCCUAGGAAUAUUAUUGUGACAUGUUUUGUUUACUUAACAAAUCUGUGGCUUAAUUACUUAUAUUGCAGAAUUUCUCUGUUGGAAACAGUCAUUCAAUGUAUGUGUUUAGGGUGAGUGGGGAAGAGGUGUUUAGAUCAAGAAGAUUCUGACUUUAUGAAUGGCUUAGUGACUGUUGGAGCUAUAAGAUUUUGACAGAAUUAAGAGUUGGACUGGGAGAGAGGUUUUUAGUUUGCGUUUUGUAUCUAUGAAGCUCUGGUGCAUUGAACAACAUUAACCAGGCUGCUCCAGUUCAGGGGACAAGCAGACUUCACAAGCAAGCAUGAAGGCCUAGUAGUGCUUUGUGCAGCCCUGAGGUUGCCACAUGUCCUUUUGCUCCCUAGAAGUGAUCCCGGAGAUCGCUCUCAAGACCAGGAAUCCAUCAGCUUCAGGGGCAAGCAGGGAGGCAGAAAGCUGCUGGGUGCAGAUGGGGAGCAAUGCAGGAUUUGAGCAUGGACUGCACAGAGUUCCUCCCAAGAGAAGAGGAAUGAGGCAGGUGGGUGCCUCAAGGCUUGCUUUCCUUUCCCUUCUUGUUUGCUUUCUUUUUAUAUUUCUUUUUAUCCAUUUAAUUAUUUCCUUAUUGGGAGGACAGGUCCAGCCUCCUUAGAAAUGACAUUGGUAUAAAAUGCAAAAUAGAAGCUAAACUCUAGGAGUACAACAGUCUUCUGAAAGGAGGAAGGCUAGACAGAAGCGUUCGUAUCUAAUUUUUUUUCAUACUGGAAAGGCGGGGACAGAGAGCUUCAGUCAGGGGACCUUCACUGGUAUGGGGUCACAGCGCCAUCAUGCGGAACAUGUUUCCUACAGUCCUGCACAGGCAUGCACUGGGACUUCCAUCGUUCCUGCUUGUUGCCAUUUUGAAACAGGGAGGGUCUCAAAAUCCCGAAUGGCCAAGCUUGCCUCUUACAUUUUUUCACUCCUUUUGUAGGCAGAUGGGAAACACAGGACAUUACAGAGUAUUAAUGCAGACCCUGUUGACUGAGAGACUUUCACCAAGUACACAGAUGACCCGAGGUCUAGAAACAGGAAGCAGAGGGGCGGGUGCCAGCCUCGGUCAGCUAGCCAUGUUAACCUACCACCUGGUCGCCUAAGGCAGCCAGACACCUCACUUUCUAGGUUCUGAAGAGAAAGCACUACAGUCAGAGUCUCUGUUGGGACCUAAGAAGUCCAGGAAGCGCAAAUAGGCAACCAGAGCUGAUCUUCUGCCUGUAAUCUUCUACCAUCACUAAGAAUCAUGGGGAGGCAGGUCAGUGGUGUUGUCAGUUUUGAAACCGUAACCUCAUGAUGGCAGUAGAGCUCCACACAAGCGCUUGUGAGUGAUUGUCUCCCGCCCUUCCUGUCUAAAAAAACCACCAAGGGUGGCUGUCCUGACUUCUUCAGCUCAACUUUGAGUAAUUUCACCAGUAUUUUAUUUUAUUUUUUGCCUUUUCCUUUUGUUACCUAAGAUAUCUCCUUUUCUUUCUGUAUGACAGCUCGUUUUUUAUCCAUUUCCAAUACUUAAUGGUCUUCUUAAAAUUUUACAAUGAUUGAUUUUUUCAUGGGUUUUACACCAUAGUUAUUGUGGAGAUUUAGAAGCAAAGGACUAAAGCUCUGGUUGUAGUGAACUGACUAUAUGGACCAGGCUCCUGUGAUAAUAUAAUCUAGUAUGAAGACAGUAACAGGCAUAUAUAGUUAUGUCAUGGGAAACAGUAAUAGGCCUCCAAUGUCGGAAGACUCUUGUGCCCUUGCUCCAGUGUGAACUAAAUCAUCCCCUAGAGAGAAUCAGUGACAGAUCCAUUUGGAAACCACUCUGAUUUCAACGCACAUGUUUCUCCAAGUGGGGUUGUGUAAAGCAUUCAGUGUUGACAGGUAUCUGGAUCCUCUAUCCAGGGCCAUUAGAGUCAGCCUGGCACAGGACACACAAGGCCUUUUGUCUAGAGCCCUUGUCUGGAUCACACACAGCGUGGUAUCCAGGGAAGUCUGUGUGAAGUAGGUAAGAACUAGGUCUCCUGAUGGUUUGCUUUUGUUCAGCCCUGAGGUUGCCACAUGUCCUUUUUUCCCUAGAAGUGAUCCCUGAGAUCUCUCUCAAGACCAGGAAUCCAUCAGACUCCAGGGGCAAGCAGGGAGGCAGAAUGCUGCUGGGUGCAGAUGGGGAGCAAUGCAGGAUUUGAGGGUGGACUGCACAGAGUUCCUCCCAAGAGAAGAGGAAUGAGGCAGGCAAGACCUUUCAGAAUAUGCAGACACUUUUGACUGAGGGACUUGGACCAGGUACAGAGCUGAGCGGAGGUACUAGAACAGGAAGCAGAGGGGCGGGUUUCACUGGCGUUCACUUGGCAAUGUUAACCUACUAGCUGGUGGCCUAGGCCAGCUAGGCCUCUCACUGUCCAGGUGCUGAUGAGAAAGCAGUACUGAAACUACAGAGUCUCUGUUGAGGCCUCAGGAGAAGUCCAGGAAGCCCAAAUCGGCACCCAGAGCUGAUCUUGUCAUCAGAAAAGCUUCCGCCAUCGCUGAGGAUCAUGG
rnacentral:lncRNA from 1 species